GGAGGACCAUUUUAUUUUUAAUUACCUACACCCAAUUAUAGUACAGACGCUGCAGAAAACGCGUGUAAAUUGACUCCUGCACAAAACUUUCCUUUAAAACUACCAAACUGUGAACUCACCUCCCCUGGUCAUCUCCCAAUCGGAGGGAUGAUAUCACAACCUCAGCAGAUUCAUCGUCAAAGUAAACAUCCUAUAUGGCAUGACCACAGAACCGUGAGAAUGCCAGAGGCGAAUGAUAACAUCAAUAAAAGAGCGAGUGACCUUUAAAACAUUCAAAAGGAAGUAAAGUCAAUCACGGAAUAAAAGUAUUACCUCAUCAUCUCGAUCAAGAGCUGCAUG
rnacentral:lncRNA from 1 species